rnacentral:lncRNA from 1 species
GAAGCUGCGAAGAUGGCGGAGUAAGGCGUGCCGCUGCAAACUGGCCUCUGGGCCGGGGGCGAGCAGCCCCCGGGAGGCCGAGUGCAUCUGUUGGACCGUGCGAGGAGAAGAAAAAAAAUAUCGGCCAGAGGAGAGGAACUAACCGAACAUUCUUCCUCCCUACCUUAUAGAGGGGAGUGGUCAUCUACACUAAAGCAAAGUGUUAGGCGCGUCCGUGCGAAGAGACCACCAAACAGGCUUUGUACCAUCUGGAUAUAUACGUGCAGGCUUGGGCUCAGAGGCCUGACACAAAGGUCUUAAGUAGGGGUCCAUAAACUACUGGAAAUUUUAUGCACAAUUAUACAUUUUUGUGGGAAGAAGAAGGUCCAUAGUAUCAGAUUCUCAAAGAGGACACUGUUUCAUAAAAGCUUGAGAACCACUGCUCCAAGACUUGACAUCUUUUUAAAAUUAAUGCCAGUGCAGGUUCCUUAUCACAGGAAGAAAAUUUUCCUUGACCUUUAGGUGCUUUUAUAUUCAUCUCAAAAACAAAAUUCUGAACUCAGGACUUGGCAAACAGAGUUUUGCUCUUGUCGCCCAGGCUGAAGUGCAAUGGCGCAAUCUCAGCUCACUGCAACCUCCGCCUCCCGGGUUCAAGCGAUUCUCCUGCCUCAGCCUCCUGAGUAGCUGACAUUAUAGGCACCUGCCACCACGCCCAGCUAAUUUUUGUAUUUUUAGUAGAGAUGGGGUUUCACCAUAUUGGGCAGGCUCGUCUUGAACUCCUGACCUCGUGAUCCGCCCACCUUAGCCUCCCAAAAUGCUGAGAUUGGAGGUGUGAGCCACCGCGCCUGGCCAGUGUGUCCUUUCUUAAUUGACAGUGACAUUAUAUCUGCAAAAUAGGCUUCAUACCUACUGUGUUAGUUUUAGUUUCCUAGGCCUGCUGUAACAAAGCACCACAAAUUGGGUAGCUUAGAAUAACAGAAAUUGUUUGAUAGUUAUAAAUAAAGGUCAGAUGUCUAAAACCAAAGUGUUGGCAGGGCCGUCCCUCUGAAGGCACUGAAAAAAAAAUUUCCAGUCCUUCUAAUUUCUUGUGGUUCCUUAACUUGUGGCAGCAUAACUCCAGUCUUCACAUGAAGUUCUUCCUGUGUGUGUAUCUGAGUCCUAAUAUAAGGAGACUAGUCAUAUUGGAUUGGGGUCCAUCCUGCUCUGUUAAUGACCUCAUCUUAGCUGCUGACAUCUGUAAUGACUCUAUUACCAAAUAAGGUCACAGUAUGAGGUAGUAGGGGCUAGGACUUUUAACAUACGAAUAUUGGGAGGACACAGUUCAACCCAUUAACACCUACUUAUACCUUGAUUAAUUAUAUGAAAACCAUUCAGUGUACAACUGCUUCAAGGAUUGAAACCUUGUAUGUAGUCCCAGCUACUCUGGAAACUGAGGUAGUAGGAUUGCUUGAGGCCUGAAGUUCAAGGCUGCAGUAUGCUGAUUGUGCCUGUGAAUAGCCACUGCACCCCAGCUUGGGCAGCAUCAGAAUUAUAGAGACAGAAAGUAGAAUGAUGGUUGCCAGGGGUUGCAGGAAGGGCAGCGAGAGGGAAUUACUGUGUAAUGUGUACAAGGUUUCAGUUUGGGAAGAAGAAAUGAGUCCUGGAGAUGGAUUACGGUGAUGGUUGCACAGCAGUAUGAAUGUACUUAAUACUACUGAAUUGUAUACUCGAAAGGGUUAAUAUGGUGAAUUUUAUGUGUAUUUUAUCACAAUAAAAACAUUGAAAAAUAAA